CUCAAUUGCCUGGAAGAAUCAUUCUAUUUCCGUCAGACAAAUAAGUUCACUUAAGCAUCUGAAAGAAAGAGAGAGAGAGAGGAAACUUGAACUGAACUGCCUGGAAAAAUCAUUCUAUUUCUCUCAAACAGUUGGGUGCACUCAACCUUCUGCAAGAGAGAGAGAGACAGAGAGCUAGAACAGGUUCUAACUCAACUGCCUAGAAGAAUCAUUCUAUUUCUCUCAGACAAUUGAGUGCACCUAAGUGUCUGAAAGAGAGAGAGAGAGAGAGAGAGAAUAGAGUCUAACUCAAUUGCCUGGAAGAAUCAUUCUAUUUCCGUCAGACAAAUAAGUUCACUUAAGCAUCUGAAAGAAAGAGAGAGAGAGAGAGAGAGGAAGCUUGAACUGAACUGCCUGGAAAAAUCAUUCUAUUUCUCUCAAACAGUUGGGUGCACUCAACCUUCUGCAAGAGAGAGAGACAGAGAGCUAGAACAGGUUCUAACUCAACUGCCUAGAAGAAUCAUUCUAUUUCUCUCAGACAAUUGAGUGCACCUAAGUGUCUGAAAGAGAGAGAGAGAGACAGAGAGAGAGAAUAGAGUCUAACUCAAUUGCCUGGAAGAAUCAUUCUAUUUCCGUCAGACAAAUAAGUUCACUUAAGCAUCUGAAAGAAAGAGAGAGAGAGAGAGAGAGGAAGCUUGAACUGAACUGCCUGGAAAAAUCAUUCUAUUUCUCUCAAACAGUUGGGUGCACUCAACCUUCUGCAAGAGAGAGAGAGACAGAGAGCUAGAACAGGUUCUAACUCAACUGCCUAGAAGAAUCAUUCUAUUUCUCUCAGACAAUUGAGUGCACCUAAGUGUCUGAAAGAGAGAGAGAGAGAGAGAGAGAAUAGAGUCUAACUCAAUUGCCUGGAAGAAUCAUUCUAUUUCCGUCAGACAAAUAAGUUCACUUAAGCAUCUGAAAGAAAGAGAGAGAGAGAGAGAGAGGAAGCUUGAACUGAACUGCCUGGAAAAAUCAUUCUAUUUCUCUCAAACAGUUGGGUGCACUCAACCUUCUGCAAGAGAGAGAGAGACAGAGAGCUAGAACAGGUUCUAACUCAACUGCCUAGAAGAAUCAUUCUAUUUCUCUCAGACAAUUGAGUGCACCUAAGUGUCUGAAAGAGAGAGAGAGAGAGAGAGAGAAUAGAGUCUAACUCAAUUGCCUGGAAGAAUCAUUCUAUUUCCGUCAGACAAAUAAGUUCACUUAAGCAUCUGAAAGAAAGAGAGAGAGAGAGAGAGAGGAAGCUUGAACUGAACUGCCUGGAAAAAUCAUUCUAUUUCUCUCAAACAGUUGGGUGCACUCAACCUUCUGCAAGAGAGAGAGACAGAGAGCUAGAACAGGUUCUAACUCAACUGCCUAGAAGAAUCAUUCUAUUUCUCUCAGACAAUUGAGUGCACCUAAGUGUCUGAAAGAGAGAGAGAGAGACAGAGAGAGAGAAUAGAGUCUAACUCAAUUGCCUGGAAGAAUCAUUCUAUUUCCGUCAGACAAAUAAGUUCACUUAAGCAUCUGAAAGAAAGAGAGAGAGAGAGAGAGAGGAAGCUUGAACUGAACUGCCUGGAAAAAUCAUUCUAUUUCUCUCAAACAGUUGGGUGCACUCAACCUUCUGCAAGAGAGAGAGAGACAGAGAGCUAGAACAGGUUCUAACUCAACUGCCUAGAAGAAUCAUUCUAUUUCUCUCAGACAAUUGAGUGCACCUAAGUGUCUGAAAGAGAGAGAGAGAGAGAGAGAGAAUAGAGUCUAACUCAAUUGCCUGGAAGAAUCAUUCUAUUUCCGUCAAACAAAUAAGUUCACUUAAGCAUCUGAAAGAAAGAGAGAGAGAGAGAGAGGAAGCUUGAACUGAACUGCCUGGAAAAAUCAUUCUAUUUCUCUCAAACAGUUGGGUGCACUCAACCUUCUGCAAGAGAGAGAGACAGAGAGCUAGAACAGGUUCUAACUCAACUGCCUAGAAGAAUCACUCUACUUUUCUCAAACAAUUAAGUGCACUUAAGCAUCUAAAAGAAAGAGAGAGAGAAUUGACUCUAACUCAACUGCCUAGAAGAAUCAUUCUAUUUCUCUCAGACAAGUGAGUACACUCAACCGUCUGAAAGAGAGAGAGAACUUCUAAUGCAAAGUUCAUCAGUCUCCCUCUAGUUUUUUUAGAUUAUUAGUUCAAUAUGGCCGUCGUCUUAUCAAAUAAAUGUCAUAGUUUAUAAUGCGCCUACAGAUGGCGCCUCAAUAGAACCUAAAAAAUCCCAAUAAUACCCUCUCGCUUCCACUCACUAAGCCGAAGUGCUGGAGUGAGGAGGACAUAAUUCCUUGAAUGAAGAUUCUUCUAAUU